GAUGAACGCUGGCGGCGUGCCUAAUACAUGCAAGUCGAGCGAACAGACGAGGAGCUUGCUCCUCUGACGUUAGCGGCGGACGGGUGAGUAACACGUGGAUAACCUACCUAUAAGACUGGGAUAACUUCGGGAAACCGGAGCUAAUACCGGAUAAUAUAAUGAACCGCAUGGUUCAAUAGUGAAAGACGGUUUUGCUGUCACUUAUAGAUGGAUCCGCGCCGCAUUAGCUAGUUGGUAAGGUAACGGCUUACCAAGGCAACGAUACGUAGCCGACCUGAGAGGGUGAUCGGCCACACUGGAACUGAGACACGGUCCAGACUCCUACGGGAGGCAGCAGUAGGGAAUCUUCCGCAAUGGGCGAAAGCCUGACGGAGCAACGCCGCGUGAGUGAUGAAGGUCUUCGGAUCGUAAAACUCUGUUAUUAGGGAAGAACAAAUGUGUAAGUAACUAUGCACGUCUUGACGGUACCUAAUCAGAAAGCCACGGCUAACUACGUG
rnacentral:rRNA from 1 species